CCAUCGCGUAUAUAGGGGCGCAGAGCUCACUGCCCGCACCGCGGAGUGCUGCCCGGCCUGUCCCAUCCGCCAGGUAACGGGGUCCCAGCGGUGCCGAGGAGCGGGGCUCUGACGGGACCAUCUGCUGCCGGUCCGCAGGCAGGAUGAGCGCGAGCUUCUUCCAGCUGCUGAGAAAGAAGAAAGAACUCAUCCCCCUGAUCGGAGUCUUGUCCUGCGCUGCCGUUGGGGCUGCUGCUUUUUCAGUCUAUUCCCUCGUCAGCAAAUCCGAUGUGAUCAUAAACAAGAGUGGCAAUCCUGAGCCAUGGGAAACCAUUGACCCUACCCGGCCUCAGAAGCUAUUAACAAUCCAUCAGAAAUGGAAACCCAUAGAAGAGUUGGAAAGUGUCAAAAAGCUUACGAAGUGACGAGUUUCUGUUGCCCCUCAUGGUACUCUAUGAAUCUAGUGGAAUCACUUCUGCACAAACUUGACUACUGAAAUCAGUGUGCGGAAAUGCUUCUGCUACAUUUCUAGGGUCUCCCUCCAUUUUUUGGGCUCUGGUUGAGGAGUUUCAUGUUGCCUUAGAAGCUGGCACACAGCAUCCACUUAGUCCAAAAAGUCUGUGUCAGAGCUCCUGAUGUUGAACAUUUGCUGCCAGAUGUUGAACAUCCAGGUUUUAUUCAAUAUGGAAAAAGUUUUUGUGCUUUUUAAAAUAGAAUUUUGGAGUUUGUUUCAUCAGAAUUAAUACUGUGGUUUUAUCACAAUAAAAUCUGUUCAGCAUUUUGCAACAUUCUUUGUAAAUUCCAUAAAUGGAGACUACCCAUAAGUUCUUCUGAAUUAGUACUCCUUAUUUGCUCCCUCUUUAUCCUAUACCUUUAUGUUGUAUGUGCACUGUAUACAGACCAAAGUGUCGUAGCCAGAAGAUGUCUAUGCAUGGCAACAUAUGUUGCCAAAAAUACACUUGCAUUUAUUUCCUGUAUUAGAGGCAGUGACAAUUUAAGUCAAAGUUAAGGUUCUGCUGCUGAUACUAGAACUUAUAUCUGCACUGAGCUUAGGCUACCAAGGAGUCUAAUAGGUGAGUUAAGGCUGCAUUUAGGAACACAGGGUGAAAACAUAACUUCAGCACAGCUAAAGAGGAAUUAAAAAUGAGAAAGUUUGGUCCAUUUAAAUAUUGUUCCUGUUUAAACUUGUAAAAAGUUACUAGAAUUGGAAAAUUUACAUUACCCAAAACUACAUUAAGCAUUAAUUUCUUUAUCUUCUGCUAGGUGGUUCACAUGCAAAGUUAAUUUUACUGCAUAGCCAGCAGGAGCUUUUUAACAUUUUAGAUGAGGGACAAAGAGAAAAUGAAAGAGAUUAAAAGUAGGAAUGACUCUUUAGAGAGAUGCUUCCUCUUUAAACAUCUGUUUUCUGAUAGAUUGGCUGGGGAAAUGGUGCAACAGGCAGAUCCUCACCAAGUAGGUGUCCCAUUCUGUGCAGGAUCACAUGCAUUACAAAGUUUCUUCUACUCUGGAUGGUAAGGAUACAUGUUAGGGCUGAGAGGAGGAAGAAAACUGAAACAAAUUAAUUUGAAGAAGUCCCUCCUCAAGUGAGUAAUACUGAACUUCCUGCUGGAGGUUACUCUGCUGCAGCACAUACCUAACAAGUCAGCAGUGCGGCUUCAGGGGAUUUAUAUUCUCUUGGGGGUGUAUUUGAUGCUGAGAAGAAAACAUUACAAUGUUGUUUAUCACACUUGUGCUAAGUUGCAGCGUAAAAAAUGAACAAGUAAGUAUGACUCAGCAGCAUUUAGGAGUGAUAGGAAUUACAGGACUUCAGAGCGCAAGCUUGGCUUUCAUUUUAAGGAAUGAUGCUAUGAGAUAAAUUGGGUGGUAUGUAACCACAAAAACCCAGUUCUCUGGGAAAUACAACUUCUAUGCAUUUAAACAGAAGUAUUGUAAAGUACUUUCUGUAAGUUGGUGUGUAUUUCCGUGUUUUGCUUGUCUGUAUCAGUCCAAAAACAUCCUGUGCUGUGCUCUGAGUUGAUAUAUGAAUUAAAUGAGUUUGUCCUUCAGUAAAUCUCUGGUAUGGGCUCUGAAUACCAGUGAUGCUUCUGACCCAAGUAUCUUCACCCACACUCUUUAGUACAUUUCCAGCUUUCACAUGAAUUACAGAGUUUCAUUAUAAUAUUCACUGGCUUGUUAGAUUUUUCAAUUUUGUAUUAACAACUAUUUGAAAUCAUGGUGAUUUAUAUGGUUGUGCUUUUCUAGCUGCAGCUGGCUGACAGUUGUUAAAGCCUGUUUGUAAAUAGUCUUCUGAAAGAACAGAAUGUUGCUUUCUGUAGUUUACAUGCAAACUGAAUAAAUAUUCCCCCUUAAAGUGUGAGUCCUUUUUAAAUCCCUUAUCUGUAUUUCUCUUAAUCUGUCCCAGCCUGUCACUGACAUAUCUACUUUUUUUCUGAGUUAAUAAGAGAGUUAUGGCCUGAGAAAGAUAAAACUUAUUUGCCAACCUCCUUUUAGCCUCUCCCCUUUCUCCAGCUUAUCUGAUGUACCAGUGAAUAUAUAUAUAUCCUCAAAGAAGCCAUGAUGUGGAACAGGCUGUGUGUCCCGGAUGUCAGGACCAUCAUUUUGUGUAUGAACUCAGUAAGUUCACAAGAUCUUUAAGCAAAACUUCAAAUUCUCUUAAAUCGAAAUCAUUUUUGCUUUCAAAAAGGAAGGUGAAGCUUGUCAAUAAAAAAACUAAUAACUUUAUAUUCUUUUUGCUGUGCACUUUUAUUUUAACUACAAGUCUUUGUUAUAGUAGUACUUACUCAGUAGUACUGAGAUUUGCAGGAUACAAGAGCUGUGCUGAGUUCCUUGUUUGGUUUUCUUUGUGUGUCAUAGCCCAUGUCAGCAUUUCUCUGCCUGAUGCUCUAUGGUUCUCUGCUGUAUUUUACUACCCAGCUACUUCAUUGGUGCAUGUGUUUUCUGUAGUAAGUGGUAGAAACAGAGUGCAGUCAGUAAAGGAAAUUGUUCAUCCUCCAGUUGUCACCUGUCUCAGCACAGAGGGCUGUUGCCCCCAGGACUAUCUGUAGAAAACAGAAGCAAUGGGGAUGAUUUACUGACUCUGUGCAGUAGCUUUCAGAUUUAACAAACAUGGCCGCAUUACUCAAAGCAGUUUUAAUUCAUUGUCCGAAGUCUUCAAUGUAUUGCACAUCUCUAUCACACAAGCAGCAGCAUGAGACAACACCAUCACAUAAAAGCCUAACAGGAAUGAAAAUCAAAAAGCAUUACUGAGGAAAUGGACAGAGGGUGUUGCAAUUGUGCUCAGAAGCUGUUUACCUUCAGGUGCUGAUUUGAAUAGAGAGCAGGUAGAUUAUUUGCUGAAAGCAUUUUCCCCUCAUAAACCAGCCAUCGCUACCAAAUAAACUCUUCAGAGGAAGCUCAAUGUGAAUAGGCACCAAUAGGCCUCACCCGGUUCAAAGAUCAGACACCUCUGCAGGGCACUUCAUGGAGGCUGUAUGAGCCCUACCCAUGAUGUACCUUGGCCUAAGGAUCAAAGGAUUUUAGUUUAAUAAUCUGUUAUUUUCAGAUAAUGUUAUCAUAUAAUCAUAAAAUGGAUUGGUUUGGAAAGGACUUCAAGACUGCACAGCCCUGGUUUCUGCUGUGGGCUGUGUCCCCCAGCUCAGCUGCCCAGGGCCCACCCAGCCUGGCCUUGGGCACCUCCAGGGAUGGCACCCACAGCUCUGGCAGCCCAUGCCCGGACCUCACUGCCCUCUCAGUGAAAACUUUCCCCAACAGAUUUAGCUAACUCUAAAUCGUGUGCUGUGGGCAGGUUGCACGGUCUCUCUCUUUGCCCUUUGCUCCAUGUGUGGCAGAGCUCUGUGCUGCUGGAGCUACAUCCUGUAACACGAGAUGUGUUGCAGUGACCCCUGCCUUAUGUGCCUUGUGUGCGCUGCGUUCCUCGUGCUUCCAUGUGAGUGGCCGUGCUGCAUGGCAGCCGUGUUGCACAGCAGCUGGUGAUGGCCUGGCCUGGCUGAAGGCAUCAGCCCGCUUCUUAGAAAGCUUUUUGUGUGGAUGGGUUGGACUUUGCAGUGUAAGGUUUUAAGGUAAACCAGGCAUCUUUGUGACACUCAGAAAUUGUUUGUGCUGGCCUGUUACAGCUCAGAUAAAUAUGUUUCCAGCCUUAUGAGCUGUCAAGCAGCAGAAAAAGCCUCUUCCACUUCAAAGGUUUAAUCCUGGCUGUAGCACAACCUGGUUAUACCUGUGUUCUGCCCCUCACACGCUCCUCUUUUCCUCUCUCCUUUCUUCUCGCUGCAUCCCUUUACUGAAGGGAAACCUACUGAAACCUCCUGAAACAAACACAUCAGAGCACCUUGGUCUGACUUAUUUACAUUGCUAGUACUGUUUACUCAUACACCAAAAUCUGACUGAUCUCACUGUUUCCUGACAAGAAAAUGGUGAAGUAAUUUGCUGAUGUUCUGUGACUCCAAACUUGAAGUGGUCAGGCAGUUUCUUAUUCCCAAAAACUGUGAAUCAUCUGGAUUCCUGCAGCCUUGUAGGACAUGGUACUGGCAGUCCAAGCAAGGGCUGUGAAACAGCUUUCUUUCUUUUUGUGUUUUCUUUUCUGUUAUAUUAUUUAAAUAAACUGGGAGGUGUUAUUUCUUUAUGUCCUAAUUCAUUCAAACAGACUCUGGGUGGCUUUGCUGACUUCUUCUUCUAAGUGUUGAAGCUGAAGCUGAAGCUGAAGCAGUGGCUCUUAGAUCUGAGACCCUGUAACAGCAGUUUCUUCUUUAUUUGUUUACUUAUGUUUUAAAAGCAGUGUUCUCUGCUGUAGGGAAUGGAAGUUCUGUACAGACACUGACGAUACAGAUGGUGUUGAACUGAGCAUCUACAGACUCAGAGUGAAAUGUCAAUAGCACCAAAGACAGACUGUGGUGAGCAGAGCGUUGCCUAAAGGAACAUCUGAGAAGUGAUGCGGUCACAAGGCAGCGCUGCCGGCCGUCCCACUUCACAGACAGAGCUGCAAACCUCUUCCUGCCAUGUCACUGCUUCAUAUGGCACUCAGUAUGUGUCUUCUCUGCUCUCCUGCCCUGCUGGCUGCAGGCAGGGCACCAUCUUCUGGGCAGCUGGGGAAAGGCCUGGAAGACCUGCCUGUGCUGUUCGGUGUCAGACGUGUUCUUAUCCAAGGUUUGGAGAGAAGCCACAAGGAAUCUGUGAAAAUAGUGGUACUCAGAAUGACUCUUCAAUAUCUGUAAAGAUAACUUGUCUUCUUUCAUGGACACCUCAUGCUCACAUUUUCUGUUACUUCAUGGGAAACAAGACCUGCACUUUUCUGGCUGAAGAGGGAGCCAUAGUUCAUUCUAAAGAGCAUCACAGGGCUGAGUGGAGCUUGUGUUCACAGGCACUCUGAGAAAGAACUGCUGUUAGACUCACCAAGAAAAGGGCACGAGACCUCAAUACAAAUAAGAUUAAUAUUUCAUAAGACAGAAUGUGAAGUUUAAUAAUUGAUUUAAUAAAACCCACAAUAAAGCAACACAUCUCCGCUUUUUCUUCAAUUAAACAAAAGUGUAGUAAAUCAUUACAAUAAAAAAACUCCAAAUACAUUACAUGUCUACCAUACUUCAACUUCUAAUUACAUCAACUGUAAAUCCCAAGUUAGUUAAAACCUGCUUGAGUACUAGUAUGUGCAAAAUACCUGUUGUGGUGGGAGGUUUUUGCUUGAUUUUAGGGAAUUUCUAAGAACAGGGUGCAUGUAUUUUCAUGAACUGUGAUAUGGCUUAAUUGGUGGCAAUGUUUGUACUGAAGCAUUAACUUUCAAGCACGGUGUUCCUUAGUGUCUGAGCUGUGCGUACUCCUGUGCUGUACUCAGGUGUUCCCACUUCUUGCCAGAACAAACCCAAACGUAUUCUAGUGUUAUUAACACUGUGCUGUGAGUUCUCACCUCUGCAAAUUCAUCAUGAGCUCCUUGUCUUAAUGAGAAAACAAGCCAAGACUGUUGCUACCAAUUGCAGAUAUAAAUCGCCCUGAUGAAUAUGUGAAACCCUAUCAAGUUUCAAGACAACAUCUCAAGUAUUCACAGCUGAGCAUCACUAUAUCUGUUACUGGUCCAAAACUUUCUGCUCCACGUGCAGAAAUACUUUUGAUGUCAGCUGAAGCUUUGUGUGAAGAUCAAAGCGCAGAAUAAGCAAAAAAUACUCAAAGCAAAGUUCUGUCUAUUGAACGCUGCGGGUCAUUCUUGUUGCCCUUGGUUUCAAUGCAGUAUUAGCAUCAGCAACAGGCAUAAACAUCAGCCUGGAUGUGUGGUAGGCUGGUGGUGGGUAGAGGCUUAUGUUUUAUUAUCCUGCAUACAUUCAAAGUACAAGGAUUGAGCUAUGAGGCACAGCAAUUCAGUUUAGUGGACUUUGAAGUGACAGGAUGAGAAAAGUCUUCUCAAAUUGCUCUGAUUCUCAAUCAGUAAAAGAGCUUUCUGUCUCUGUAGGUUGCUGUGAUUGCAUUGUCCAGUGUGCAUGAGGCCGCUGAGCUUGCUCGGAUUUCGUUUUACUCCUAGAGCUCAGUAGUGAGGGACUGCUGUUGUAUUGGCUGUCCUGUGGGGAUACUGCCUUCCUGUCCUCACAGCAGAGAUGAACAGGUCAGAGAUCCAAGAAGGAGGGAACACUCCACCUAAAACUUCUGCUCUCCCUUUCCCUUCUAGUACAUUUAAGUAUUUUGCACGUCUGUAGAUUGUAUCUGAGAGUACCUUCACGUCAAGCAUAGUUCCUGUCAUUUUAUUUUUU